rnacentral:rRNA from 1 species
UAGGGAAUCUUCCGCAAUGGACGCCAGUCUGACGGAGCAACGCCGCGUGAGUGAAGAAGGAUUUCGGUUCGUAAAACUCUGUUGUUAGAGAAGAACAGCGCAUAGAGUAACUGUUAUGCGUGUGACGGUAUCUAACCAGAAAGCCACGGCUAACUACGUGCCAGCAGCCGCGGUAAUACGUAGGUGGCAAGCGUUGUCCGGAUUUAUUGGGCGUAAAGCGAGCGCAGGCGGUCAAUUAAGUCUGAUGUGAAAGCCCCCGGCUCAACCGGGGAGGGUCAUUGGAAACUGGUUGACUUGAGUGCAGAAGAGGAGAGUGGAAUUCCAUGUGUAGCGGUGAAAUGCGUAGAUAUAUGGAGGAACACCAGUGGCGAAGGCGACUCUCUGGUCUGUAACUGACGCUGAGGCUCGAAAGCGUGGGUAGCAAACAGG